GGCGUGUGGAUGUGGCAAGUGGUUGGGAUGGCUGGAAAGCCUAUCUCCACUAGUACAUCCUGUGCUCCAGCCCAGAGUGAUGCUGUGGUCACCAUCUGGAUGGGGGAAGGAAACUUGGGGGAGUGAGCUCUUUAUUCACUUCCACCAUGUAGGGUUAAGGCUGGAACUCUGGCUGUGGCUUUGUGAAACACUGGCUGGCUGACCUCCAUCUCUAACCCAGCAUUCUCUGCUCCUCCAACGUUCACCACUUGAAUGGAUAUUACCUGGAGCUCCAAGCCAAAAAGUUUUAUACUUCACCUUUAAAUGCUUCUUUUCCUUCUCUUAAAACUCUGACACCACAAAGCAACCUAA